CCUACGGGAGACAGCAGUGAGGAAUAUUGGUCAAUGGACGAGAGUCUGAACCAGCCAAGUAGCGUGAAGGAUGACUGCCCUAUGGGUUGUAAACUUCUUUUAUAUGGGAAUAAAAUGUUCCACGUGUGGGAUUUUGUAUGUACCAUAUGAAUAAGGAUCGGCUAACUCCGUGCCAGCAGCCGCGGUAAUACGGAGGAUCCGAGCGUUAUCCGGAUUUAUUGGGUUUAAAGGGAGCGUAGGUGGAUUGUUAAGUCAGUUGUGAAAGUUUGCGGCUCAACCGUAAAAUUGCAGUUGAAACUGGCAGUCUUGAGUAUAGUAGAGGUGGGCGGAAUUCGUGGUGUAGCGGUGAAAUGCUUAGAUAUCACGAAGAACUCCGAUUGCGAAGGCAGUUCACUGGACUGCAACUGACACUGAGGCUCGAAAGUGUGGGUAUCAAACAGGAUUAGAUACCCCAGUAGUC
rnacentral:rRNA from 1 species